AGGAGCCGUGCGAGAUGAAAGUCUCAUGCACGGUUUUGAAUGAGAGUAAAGAAGUGAGGAAUCCUCUUUUCGACUCUGAC
rfam:Spinacia oleracea complete chloroplast genome